GACGAACGCUGGCGGCGUGCCUAAUACAUGCAAGUCGAACGCAGUGGGGACGGGUGAGUAACACGUGGGUAACCUCCCAUCAGAGGGGAUAACACUUGGAAACAGGUGCUAAACCGAUACUGAUGGAUGGACCCGCGGUGCAUUAGCUAGUUGGUGAGGUAACGGCUCACCAAGGCCACGAUGAAUAGCCGACCGGUGAGGGUGAUGGGCAACACUGGGACUGAGACACGGCCGAGACUCCGACGGGAGGCAGCAGGAGGGAAGCUGAGGCAAUGGACGAAAGUCUGACCGAGAAACGCCGCGUGAGUGAAGAAGGUUUGAGGAUCGUAAAACUCUGUUGUUAGAGAAGCGGUAUCUAACCAGAAAGCCACGGCUAACUACGUGCCAGCCGCCGCGGUAAUUC
rnacentral:rRNA from 1 species